rnacentral:misc_RNA from 1 species
UUUAGGGGUAACUGUUGCGGAUAGCCUCAGGCAGCGUUCCUCGCUGCUGUUAAGUCAGGCUCCACUCCAGUGUCCCGUUUUGGGCCUCAGGCCUCCUUUUGUGCAAUCCAGACGUCGUGGUCCAAACGCGGAUCGGCGGUGCCGACGGCCGGGAACCCCCCUCGCGAUUAACGCCCGAGCGAGAUCGCUAUCCGUGGACCGUGGUUGUCGCCGUCCUCGUCGGUUCGUCCCCAUCGCACACCCUACUCCCCCGGUCGUCAGCCCUCAGCACUCAUCCGGUCAUCCCCAAACCCCAGAAACCUCCUUGGAACCAACUGAAGAUGCCCGACCAGACGUCGGCUGCGGCCGCGGGCGGCGCGGCGUUCGACCGUUGCCUGCUGGCGCUGUACCUCAUCAGCCCGCUCACUGUUCUGGCGCUCCGCUUCAUCUCCGCGCCGUACGGCAAGCUAUCCCGGCCGGGCUGGGGCCCCGUCCUACCGGCCCCACUCGCGUGGUUCCUCAUGGAGAGCCCCACCCUCUGGCUCCCACCGCUCGUCCUCCUCCGCUGGCCGCCGCCGCCGCUCUCCGGCCCACUCGCCGCACUCCCCGCCGCGCUCUACGCGUUCCACUACGUCCACCGCACGCUGGUCCACCCGCUCCGCCUCGCCCGCCUGCGCCGCGCCCCGGCCCCCGUGCCGCUCCUCAUCGCCGCCUGCGCCUUGGGAUUCAAUAUCCUCAACGCCUACCUACAGGCCCGCUCCUUCGCCCUCCACGCCGGCCGCCAGGCGUCCCCCUUCCGCUGCCUCGCUGGGCUGGCCCUCUUCGCGUGGGGAAUGCGGACGAACAUCGCGGCGGACAAGGAGCUGCUGCGGCUCAAGGAGGCCGGAGGCGGGUACAAGAUCCCGAGGGGCGGGUGGUUCGACCUCGUCACCAGCCCCAAUUACUUCGGCGAGACGGUGGAGUGGCUGGGCUUCGCCGUGGUGGCGUGGACGCCCGCGGCCUGGGCGUUCUUCCUCUACACCUGCGCCAACCUCGGGCCGAGGGCCAGGGACCACCGCCGCUGGUACGUGCAGAAGUUCCGCGGCGAGUACCCGGCGUCGCGCAAGGCGUUCAUCCCCUACAUCUACUAGGUGAUGGCCGUGGUUUCGGUUCGUUCUUCUUGGCCGCCUUAUCUUCCUUCGCGGCGGAGCAGAAGCAGGAGAGCAGGCUGAGUUUGCCCAUGUUUCGACUCGACGAGAAGGCGAGUAGACGACAGAGAACCUGCGAUGCGAUUAGCUGCGCGAGACUGCAACCUGUUGAAUCUAAUGUUCUUACUAUUGCUGCUGUCGAUGAUUUUAUAGAUGUACAGGCAGAGUUGAAUAUAAAGCCGGCUGAGGCAUAACCUGGUUACUCUCGUGUUUGUACUAUGUUCCGACUCGAACAGGAUUGACUCAAGUCUAAUGUAUUGGGCAUGGACAGAAUCUCUAAUUGGAGGGUUAUUUGACUUGGCG